rnacentral:lncRNA from 1 species
AGAAACGGGCCCCUGCUUCCUUCUGCGUCAGGCCCAGGACCCCACAGUCUCUUGAAGGUGCUACAUGGACCAGCGGCUCCUGGGUGGACACUGCAGCAGGCCACAGCGCAUUGCUAACUGCUGUGAAACCAAGCAACAAGUCACUCCCCAGGAACAAAGGUGACGGCCACCAGGCCGCGGAGCCUUGACCUCAUCUCAUUUCCUACGUGCCGUCCACCCCAUAAUCACUGUGCCUCCAGGGAGCGUGCCCGCCAAGCAGCGCGUGCUGUCGGCCUCCUGUUUACAGAGCCUUUCUGGCGUCAGAUUGCUGUAAACACGAAGAACAUAUAUUUGCAACCUUCUGUUAAAAGACUUUCACAUCCCUGAAACAGGAAUCAAGAUGCCU